UGGCGGGGUAACGGCCCACCAAGGCUAAGACGGGUAGCUGUUCUGAGAGGAAGAUCAGCCACGCUGGGACUGAGAUACGGCCCACACACCUACGGGUGGCAACAGUUUCGAAUCAUUUACAAUGGGGGAAACCCUGAUAGUGCGACGCCGCGUGGGGGAUGAAGGUCCUUGGAUUGUAAACCCCUGUCACCGGAGAACAAACGCGUAUGGCUAAUAUCCAUACGCCUGAGCUUAUCCGGAGAGGAAGCCGUGGCCAACUCUGUGCCAGCAGCCGCGGUAAUACAGAGACGGCGAGCGUUACUCGGAUUUACUGGGCGUAAAGGGUGCGUAGGUGGCCAAGUGUGUUGGGUGUGAAAUCUCGGAGCUCAACUCCGAAACUGCGCCCGAAACUACUUGGCUUGAGUUUCAGAGAGGGUAGUGGAAUUCCUGGUGUAGCGGUGAAAUGCGUAGAUAUCAGGAGGAAUACCAACGGCGAAGGCAGCUACCUGGAUGAAUACUGACACUGAGGCACGAAAGCGUGGGUAGCAAAAGGGAUUAGAUACCCCUGUAGUCCACGCCCUAAACGGUGCACACUCGGUCUUAGCGGAUUUGACCCCGCUAGGGCCUGAGCUAACGCGUUAAGUGUGCCGCCUGAGGACUACGGCCGCAAGGCUAAAACUCAAAGGAAUUGACGGGGCCCCGCACAAGCGGUGGAGUAUGUGGCUUAAUUCGAGGCAACGCGAAGAACCUUACCAGGGUUUGACAUGCGGGAGACCGGGGGUGAAAGCUCCCUUCGGUAGCAAUACCGCUGCUGCACAGGUGCUGCAUGGCUGUCGUCAGCUCGUGUCGUGAGAUGUUGCGUUAAGUCGCGCAACGAGCGCAACCCCUGUCUUUAGUUACCAGCACGUAAUGGUGGGGACUCUAAAGAGACAAACCUCCUCUGGAGGUGGGAAGGUGGGGAUGACGUCAAGUCAGCAUGGCCCUUACACCCUGGGCUGCACACGUACUACAAUGCCCGGUACAGAGCGUUCCAAGACCGCGAGGUGGAGGCAAUCGCCAAAAGCCGGGCCCAGUUCA
rnacentral:rRNA from 1 species